ACUUUACAAUGCUGGCAACAGCGAUAAGGGAACCUCGAGUGCCAGGUUACAAAUCUGGCUGUCGAGAUGCCUAAAAAGCAUUUCAUAGCAAGGGCCUGGCAAGACCGGUGCCAGCCGCCGCGGUAACACCGGCGGCUCGAGUGGUAACCGUUCUUAUUGGGUCUAAAGGGUCCGUAGCCGGCCGGAUAAGUCUCUUGAGAAAUCUGGCAGCUUAACUGUCAGGCUUUCAGGAGAUACUGUCUGGCUCGAGGCCGGGAGAGGUGAGAGGUACUUCAGGGGUAGGGGUGAAAUCUUGUAAUCCUUGAAGAGCCACCAGUGGCGAAGGCGUCUAACCAGAACGGACCUGACGGCAAG
rnacentral:rRNA from 1 species